rnacentral:rRNA from 1 species
UGUAGUCUGCAACCCGACUACAUGGAGCUGGAAUCGCUAGUAAUCGCGGAUCAGAAUGCCGCGGUGAAUACGUUCCCGGGUCUUGUACACACCGCCCGUCACACCAUGGGAGUCGGAAAUGCCCGAAGUCUGUGACCCAACCGAAAGGAGGGAGCAGCCGAAGGCAGGUCGGAUGACUGGGGUGAAGUCGUAACAAGGUAGC